AACAGGUUAUGUCGUUUCAAACACCGCGCUCGGAAACAGGUUAUGUCGUUUCAAACACCCCGCUCGGAAACAGGUUAUGUCGUUUCAAACACCCGGCUCGGAAACAGGUUAUGUCGUUUCAAACACCCCGCUCUGAAACAGGUUAUGUCGUUUCAAACACCCCGCUCUGAAACAGGUUAUGUCGUUUCAAACACCCCGCUCUGAAACAGGUUAUGUCGUUUCAAACACCCCGCUCUGAAACAGGUUAUGUCGUUUCAAACACCCCGCUCUGAAACAGGUUAUGUCGUUUCAAACACCCCGCUCUGAAACAGGUUAUGUCGUUUCAAACACCCCGCUCUGAAACAGGUUAUGUCGUUUCAAACACCCCGCUCUGAAACAGGUUAUGUCGUUUCAAACACCCCGCUCUGAAACAGGUUAUGUCGUUUCAAACACCCCGCUCUGAAACAGGUUAUGUCGUUUCAAACACCCCGCUCUGAAACAGGUUAUGUCGUUUCAAACACCCCGCUCUGAAACAGGUUAUGUCGUUUCAAACACCCCGCUCUGAAACAGGUUAUGUCGUUUCAAACACCCCGCUCUGAAACAGGUUAUGUCGUUUCAAACACCCCGCUCUGAAACAGGUUAUGUCGUUUCAAACACCCCGCUCUGAAACAGGUUAUG